rnacentral:rRNA from 1 species
UGGGGAAUUUUGGACAAUGGGCGCAAGCCUGAUCCAGCCAUGCCGCGUGCAGGAUGAAGGCCUUCGGGUUGUAAACUGCUUUUGUACGGAACGAAAAGACUCCUUCUAAUAAAGGGGGUCCAUGACGGUACCGUAAGAAUAAGCACCGGCUAACUACGUGCCAGCAGCCGCGGUAAUACGUAGGGUGCGAGCGUUAAUCGGAAUUACUGGGCGUAAAGCGUGCGCAGGCGGUUAUAUAAGACAGGUGUGAAAUCCCCGGGCUCAACCUGGGAACUGCAUUUGUGACUGUAUAGCUGGAGUACGGCAGAGGGGGAUGGAAUUCCGCGUGUAGCAGUGAAAUGCGUAGAUAUGCGGAGGAACACCGAUGGCGAAGGCAAUCCCCUGGGCCUGUACUGACGCUCAUGCACGAAAGCGUGGGGAGCAAACA